rnacentral:rRNA from 1 species
UACAGAGGUCCCAAGCGUUGUUCGGAUUCACUGGGCGUAAAGGGUGCGUAGGCGGUCGGGUAAGUCUGAUGUGAAAUCUCACAGCUUAACUGUGAAACUGCAUUGGAUACUAUCCGGCUUGAGGAAUGGAGGGGAGACUGGAAUACUUGGUGUAGCAGUGAAAUGCGUAGAUAUCAAGUGGAACACCAGUGGCGAAGGCGGGUCACUGGCCCGAUACUGACGCUGAGGCACGAAAGCGUGGGGAGCAAACAGG